rnacentral:rRNA from 1 species
GAGUCGGCCUGCGCGGAAGAUGUAACGGGGCUAAACCAUGCACCGAAGCUGCGGCAGCGACACUGUGUGUUGUUGGGUAGGGGAGCGUUCUGUAAGCCUGUGAAGGUGUGCUGUGAGGCAUGCUGGAGGUAUCAGAAGUGCGAAUGCUGACAUAAGUAACGAUAAAGCGGGUGAAAAGCCCGCUCGCCGGAAGACCAAGGGUUCCUGUCCAACGUUAAUCGGGGCAGGGUGAGUCGACCCCUAAGGCGAGGCCGAAAGGCGUAGUCGAUGGGAAACAGGUUAAUAUUCCUGUACUUGGUGUUACUGCGAAGGGGGGACGGAGAAGGCUAUGUUGGCCGGGCGACGGUUGUCCCGGUUUAAGCGUGUAGGCUGGUUUUCCAGGCAAAUCCGGAAAAUCAAGGCUGAGGCGUGAUGACGAGGCACUACGGUGCUGAAGCAACAAAUGCCCUGCUUCCAGGAAAAGCCUCUAAGCAUCAGGUAACAUCAAAUCGUACCCCAAACCGACACAGGUGGUCAGGUAGAGAAUACCAAGGCGCUUGAGAGAACUCGGGUGAAGGAACUAGGCAAAAUGGUGCCGUAACUUCGGGAGAAGGCACGCUGAUAUGUAGGUGAAGUCCCUCGCGGAUGGAGCUGAAAUCAGUCGAAGAUACCAGCUGGCUGCAACUGUUUAUUAAAAACACAGCACUGUGCAAACACGAAAGUGGACGUAUACGGUGUGACGCCUGCCCGGUGCCGGAAGGUUAAUUGAUGGGGUCAGCGCAAGCGAAGCUCUUGAUCGAAGCCCCGGUAAACGGCGGCCGUAACUAUAACGGUCCUAAGGUAGCGAAAUUCCUUGUCGGGUAAGUUCCGACCUGCACGAAUGGCGUAAUGAUGGCCAGGCUGUCUCCACCCGAGACUCAGUGAAAUUGAACUCGCUGUGAAGAUGCAGUGUACCCGCGGCAAGACGGAAAGACCCCGUGAACCUUUACUAUAGCUUGACACUGAACAUUGAGCCUUGAUGUGUAGGAUAGGUGGGAGGCUUUGAAGUGUGGACGCCAGUCUGCAUGGAGCCGACCUUGAAAUACCACCCUUUAAUGUUUGAUGUUCUAACGUGGACCCGUGAUCCGGGUUGCGGACAGUGUCUGGUGGGUAGUUUGACUGGGGCGGUCUCCUCCUAAAGAGUAACGGAGGAGCACGAAGGUUGGCUAAUCCUGGUCGGACAUCAGGAGGUUAGUGCAAUGGCAUAAGCCAGCUUGACUGCGAGCGUGACGGCGCGAGCAGGUGCGAAAGCAGGUCAUAGUGAUCCGGUGGUUCUGAAUGGAAGGGCCAUCGCUCAACGGAUAAAAGGUACUCCGGGGAUAACAGGCUGAUACCGCCCAAGAGUUCAUAUCGACGGCGGUGUUUGGCACCUCGAUGUCGGCUCAUCACAUCCUGGGGCUGAAGUAGGUCCCAAGGGUAUGGCUGUUCGCCAUUUAAAGUGGUACGCGAGCUGGGUUUAGAACGUCGUGAGACAGUUCGGUCCCUAUCUGCCGUGGGCGCUGGAGAACUGAGGGGGGCUGCUCCUAGUACGAGAGGACCGGAGUGGACGCAUCACUGGUGUUCGGGUUGUCAUGCCAAUGGCACUGCCCGGUAGCUAAAUGCGGAAGAGAUAAGUGCUGAAAGCAUCUAAGCACGAAACUUGCCCCGAGAUGAGUUCUCCCUGACCCUUUAAGGGUCCUGAAGGAACGUUGAAGACGACGACGUUGAUAGGCCGGGUGUGUAAGCGCAGCGAUGCGUUGAGCUAACCGGUACUAAUGAACCGUGAGGCUUAACCUU